rnacentral:rRNA from 1 species
UACAGAGGGGGCAAGCGUUGUUCGGAAUUACUGGGCGUAAAGGGCGCGUAGGCGGCCUUCUAAGUCGAACGUGAAAUCCCCGGGCUCAACCCGGGAACUGCGUCCGAUACUGGAAGGCUUGAAUCCGGGAGAGGGAUGCGGAAUUCCAGGUGUAGCGGUGAAAUGCGUAGAUAUCUGGAGGAACACCGGUGGCGAAGGCGGCAUCCUGGACCCGGCAUUGACGCUGAGGCGCGAAAGCCAGGGGAGCAAAGC